rnacentral:rRNA from 1 species
ACCCUUUAAUGUUUGAUGUUCUAACGUGGACCCGUUACCCGGGUUGCGGACAGUGUCUGGUGGGUAGUUUGACUGGGGCGGUCUCCUCCUAAAGAGUAACGGAGGAGCACGAAGGUUGGCUAAUCCUGGUCGGACAUCAGGAGGUUAGUGCAAUGGCAUAAGCCAGCUUGACUGCGAGCGUGACGGCGCGAGCAGGUGCGAAAGCAGGUCAUAGUGAUCCGGUGGUUCUGAAUGGAAGGGCCAUCGCUCAACGGAUAAAAGGUACUCCGGGGAUAACAGGCUGAUACCGCCCAAGAGUUCAUAUCGACGGCGGUGUUUGGCACCUCGAUGUCGGCUCAUCACAUCCUGGGGCUGAAGUAGGUCCCAAGGGUAUGGCUGUUCGCCAUUUAAAGUGGUACGCGAGCUGGGUUUAGAACGUCGUGAGACAGUUCGGUCCCUAUCUGCCGUGGGCGCUGGAGAACUGAGGGGGGCUGCUCCUAGUACGAGAGGACCGGAGUGGACGCAUCACUGGUGUUCGGGUUGUCAUGCCAAUGGCACUGCCCGGUAGCUAAAUGCGGAAGAGAUAAGUGCUGAAAGCAUCUAAGCACGAAACUUGCCCCGAGAUGAGUUCUCCCUGAGACUUAAAGUCUCC